rnacentral:rRNA from 1 species
CCUACGGGAGGCAGCAGUAGGGAAUAUUGCUCAAUGGGGGAAACCCUGAAGCAGCAACGCCGCGUGGGUGAUGAAGUUUUUCGGAUUGUAAACCCCUUUUGUUAGAGAAGAUAAUGACGGUAUCUAACGAAUAAGCACCGGCUAACUCCGUGCCAGCAGCCGCGGUAAUACGGAGGGUGCAAGCGUUACUCGGAAUCACUGGGCGUAAAGGGCGCGUAGGCGGGUUAGCAAGUCAGAUGUGAAAUCCUAUGGCUUAACCACAGAACGGCAUUGGAAACUGUUAUUCUAGAGUAUGGGAGAGGUAGGUGGAAUUCUUGGUGUAGCGGUAAAAUGCGUAGAGAUCAAGAGGAAUACUCAUUGCGAAGGCGACCUACUAGAAAGUAACUGACGUUGAGGCGCGAAAGCGUGGGGAGCAAACAGGAUUAGAUACCCCAGUAGUC